rnacentral:rRNA from 1 species
ACCUCGGCGGUGGCGUCUUGCCUCAAGCGUAGUAGAAAACACCUCGCUUUGGAGCGCACGGCGUCGCCCGCCGGACGAACCUUUGAAUUAUUUCUCAAGGUUGACCUCGGAUCAGGUAGGGAUACCCGCUGAACUAAGCAUAUCAAUAUAAGCGGGGAAAAGAAA